AGAAGACAAAAACUUGAGAGCCCCAUUUUCUUUCUCCACUGUUUCGGCCAGCCAAGGAGGAAACCAACCCCCAUUUUUAGCUUCCCAAAAAUUAUUUCCUUGGUGUUAACCCACUAAUCUAAGGACCCUAAGUAGAGUGGAAGCAUCGUUGGAGCGAUCAACCUAUUAAUUUUUCAUCUUUUGGAAAACCCUAGCCUAUUGGAAGUUGAAGAGAAAAAGAUCGUGGGCAGCCCGAAUCAUAGUUUGGACUUAGCUCGAGUUGGAUCAUAUUGGAGAGCGUUCGAGGUACAGACGCACAGUUCGGUGAUCCCCCAGUUUAGGAUAUCCCCUUCAGCUGUUUGGAGUGCUCUUCUCAUUUCAGAGCAUACACUUUUGGUAUAUACUUUUGUUCGUUACGUAUGUAUAUAUAGUUGUUCCGGGUACGGCGGGGCCCUGUUCCGCCAUAUGAUUCGUUUGGUCUGUUUAGAGGUCUGUAGACUUAUUUGUGGGUGUGUGUGCCUACUACUGUACAUUUGUGUCCAUAUGAUCUCUUUCGUUAUGGCAGCCUUGUCGGCUCGCACAUGUAUAUGUUGUUCUGUUGGCACUGUGUGGCCUUUGUUGGUAUUUGCUGUGUACAGGGUUAUUUUGGAUAGUCCGAAAAACAAAGGAAACUCUGCCGAAAUUUUCUUUGAAAAUCUUGUAAAUUUGAAACACCGCCUUGUCGGCUUCUGUUAUAUACCUGGAUGUGUUUGAUAUAAUCUGAGGCAGCGUUUGAUAUUUG